rnacentral:rRNA from 1 species
GUGAGGAAUAUUGGUCAAUGGGCGGGAGCCUGAACCAGCCAAGUCGCGUGAAGGAAGAAGGAUCUAUGGUUCGUAAACUUCUUUUGCAGGGGAAUAAAGUGCAGGACGUGUCCUGUUUUGUAUGUACCCUGAGAAUAAGGAUCGGCUAACUCCGUGCCAGCAGCCGCGGUAAUACGGAGGAUCCGAGCGUUAUCCGGAUGUAUGUGGUUUAAAGGGUGCGUAGGUGGUUUGAUAAGUCAGCGGUGAAAGUUUGCAGCUUAACUGUAAAAAUGCCGUUGAAACUGUCGGACUUGAGUGUAAAUGAGGUAGGCGGAAUGCGUGGUGUAGCGGUGAAAUGCAUAGAUAUCACGCAGAACUCCGAUUGCGAAGGCAGCUUACUAAGCUACAACUGACACUGAAGCACGAAAGCGUGGGGAUCAAACAGGAUUAGAUACCUCUGUAGUCC